rnacentral:lncRNA from 1 species
GGUUUAUGAUGACACAGGACCUUGUCUGAACAUGGUGAUUUCACAUUUUGAGCUUAAAAGGAUACCCUGAAAUCCAGUCAAUGUGCCUCACUAGACUUUUCAGAGAAUAUUAUUCUUGACAGAAAAUGUUGGCUUGAUAUGUGAAAACUUAGUUAGAAAUGGCAGGUGUAGUAGUACACUUUGCCAGUUCUUCAAAUACCUAUUUUUUUCCCUUUUCAUAGGUUUGUGUGAGCUAAUUCUUUUUUUUCUCUUUUUCUCUUACACUAUAUAUACACACACGUGUGUGUAUAUAUGUGUGUGUGUGUGUGUGUUUGUGUGUGUAUGUACCCACAAACACUGUUCAAAACAAAAAUGGAGGCUCGUCCUUGGAUCUCAGAAGGCCGCAAGUGGUGACAUGGAAACAAAGACAUGUAAAAAGCAGAUCACCACCUCUUACAGCAAACAUUGAGUGACAAAGUUCUAAAUAUCUAAGUGAUGUCCAAAAGAAUAUUUAUGGAACAUUUUAAGAAGACGGUGAGUGUGUGGCUGUAAUGAAUAGUUUUGAGUGAUCAUGAAGAACCUGUGACAUAGACUAGUGCAGCAGAGUUACCCAGCGAAAUAAAGACUGUUGGGUUACCGAAGGAAAGAAGAAGAAAGAAGACAGGAUUUGAGGUGAACAUGGUAAAAAAUGACACACUUGCAUAUAACCUGAGGAUAGCUGGCAUCAGGAACAUCCUUAUGCAACUAUGCCUAUGGAGUUCUUAUUCUUAUGCAAACAUGCCUAUGGAGUUCUUUCAUUUAUAAAUUUCAAAUUUAAACCACAGUAAUUGGUACCACCAGACCUGUUGCAGUAUUCUCAUUCCAAGUGUUCUUCACUCCCAUCUUUGGACCCUGGAGAAGCCCUUGGCCAUCAUAAUCUGUGUCCUUUAGGUGAUGAUUGAUUAGGAUACUGAUCACUUCUGCAACCAUCUUCACUAAAAACCAAAAGACAGUCUUCAUAAUGUAUGUAGACUCGGCAUUGAUGUGUUACAAUAGACACUCCCUGUAGAUCAGAAAAACUGGACUUAGAAGGCUCAAGUUCGAAAGUGACGUGAAGGAUGUUAUUGGAGAGAAUUGUAACCAGGCAUGUUGAGAGAUUUCAAUUGUUGCCAUUGGACUAAAUCUCAGGAGCUUUACUGAUGGAGGCAUCAUUACAUGGAGAAGAUCAGCAUGGAGUGAUUGCAAGGCUUCGUUUCAGUGCUCUCAUAAACAUUAGGUUCUUGUAUUUAAAAUUUUAACUUAUCACAGGGAAAUUUAAAAUUGAUUCAUAAAAAAUCGUCUUUUUCAAGAUCUCAAAGGACAUGGAAAUUUGUGAAGUAUGUUUUUACUUUGCCUUUUCCUAAUUCUAUACAUCCUUUCUAGUGUAUUGAUAAAUUAAUAUGCAAGUCAUUUGGGGGUCUCUAUAUUGGCUAUAGAUUUUUCUUUGCCGUAAGUAUGACUUACUGAUAAAUUGUAAUUUGCCUGAAUAAUUUGUUGAAAUAGUUCCAGUGAAGUAGAACUGCUACUUCUGAAGAUAUCCAAAAUUUAUAUUUUGAGUUCAAUCUACAGAUUUCUCCCAACUGUAUAGAUGGGUCCUCAUCAGUCUUGUUCCCCAGGGUCUAUAUCCCAAAAUUAUACAAGUAUUAGCUGUUUAAUCUUUGGUAAUGUGAGAUUAUACAGAAAUUGCUUUUCUCUGUUGUUUAGCUUGGUCAUCUUCAUGUUAUGCUUAAUCUUUACUGGUCACUUGUGUUAUUUCAUUUUCCUUUUUUUUUCAUUUCCCUUGGAAUAUUAAUGUCUGUGUUACUGAUUUCUAAGAAAUCAUUUAUAAUUAAGGAUGUGAACCAUUUGUCAUGCAUCGGGAAUGAAAUACUGUGUAUUUAUGCCACUAGUUUACUAUGGUGUUCUGUAUUUUGGUUGUGUAUUAAAAUAUAAUUGUGUUAUGUUUUA